GUCCCUCACCUGUCCCAGGUGUCCCCAGGUGUACCCAGGUGUCCCUCCCCUGUCCCCUGUGUCCCCUCACCUGUCCCAGGUGUCCCCAGGUGUCCCUCCCCUGUCCCCUAUGUCCGUCACCUGUCCCCUAUGUCCGUCACCUGUCCCAGGUGUCCCUCCCCUGUCCCAGGUGUCCCCAGGUGUCCCUCACCUGUCCCAGGUGUCCCAGGUGUCCCCAGGUGUCCCUCACCUGUCCCAGGUGUCCCCAGGUGUCCCUCACCUGUCUCGCUGUGGCAGCAGGACGCUCCCCCCUUGAGCAGCCCCCCUUGGCUCCUCCUGUCACCCCCAGGUGUCCCCUGUGUCCCCAGGUGUCCCUCACCUGUCCCAGGUGUCCCAGGUGUCCCUCCCCUGUCCCAGGUGUCCCAGGUGUCCCACCCCUGUCUCGUUGUGGCAGCAGGACAUGUCCCCCACCCCGGAUGUCCCAGGCGUCCCAUGGAUGUCCCCAGGUGUCCCUCCCCUGUCCCAGGUGUCCCCAGGUGUCCCCAGG